rnacentral:SRP_RNA from 1 species
GCCAGGCGCAGUGGCUCAUGCCUGUAGUCCCUGCUACUCGGGAGGCUGAGGCUGGAGGAUCUCUUGAGUCCAGGAUUUCUGGGCUAUAGUGCCCUACACCGAUCAGGUGUCCACACUAAGUUCAGCAUGAAUAUGGUGACCUCCCGGGAGCAGGGAACCACCAGGUUGCCUAAGGAGGGGUGAACCAGCCCAGGUCAGAAACGGAGCAGGUCAAAACUCCCAUGCUGAUCAGUAGUGGGAUCGCGCCUGUGAAUAGCCACUGCACUCCAGCCUGGGCAACAUAGCGAGAUCCCGUCUCU